GAAAAUGUUCACCAUCUUCUUCGCCUCUCCAUACAAAAGCUUCACUCCCAUCUCCAUCUCUGCAAAGACUCCGAGAGCUCGAGCUCGAGCUCCAAUGGCGAUGGACCUUCUCCUUAUCGUAUCUCCACUAGUUCGAGCCCAUCUUCUUCAGCUUCAGAGGCAGCAACAAGGUGGGAGACAACUUGGCGAAGCUCCCGCCGGGAACAAUGGGCUGGCCACUGAUCAGCCACACGAUCCCCUUCAUGCAACCCCAUUCCUUCGCCUCACUCGGCCUCUUCAUCAAGCAAAACAUCGCCAAGUAUGGUAGGGUUUUCAGGAUGAACUUGGUGGGGAAAGCAACGAUCGUGUCGGCGGAUGCAAAAUUCAAUAGGUAUUUAAAUUUAAAUUCGCUUCUUCUCACUCAAACCUUAGAAAUCCUCCCAUUGUGGCGCCACACAAGCGGAGUACCCAUUUUCCACCUCUCUAUGAGCUCCAGCCAGCACCGAGAAUGGCGGAUACCCUAGUCCUUAGGGGCACAUUGAAGGAUCAAGCUGACAAUGAUACGGUAUUCACCAGAUCUCUGGUGCCCGUCUCCUUGGUGAAGUGCCAGAUAAGGACAGACUUGUCACCGGAGGAGGAGACGAUCAUCUCAGAUAUUCGGAAUUGGGAGACUCUCAUCGACGGCAAUGCCCGUUGGUUAAGGAGCAUCAUCGUCUCGGCGUCGACUGACUACCUCUGUCCGUCCAAGGUGAUCUCACGGUGGAUACAGGUGUUCCUCUGAAUGUAGCUCUAGGCAUGCAUGAUAUAGAUGGUUGGAAGGUAAUGGCAUCAAGCAUAAACGCUUUGCUGUUGUGACAUGGGGUGAUUGGGAUUGUCGCACUAUGUUAGAGUCUGAGUGCCGGUUCAAAAGGAUCCCAAAGCCUCCAUACUUCAAUAGGUGGAUCAAUUUAAAAGUUCCAUUCCAAGACAUGUUCGUCGGGUUCGCUGCAAUCUGAAGGAAGCAG